CGGUAACAGGAAGAAGCUUGCUUCUUUGCUGACGAGUGGCGGACGGGUGAGUAAUGUCUGGGAAACUGCCUGAUGGAGGGGGAUAACUACUGGAAACGGUAGCUAAUACCGCAUAACGUCGCAAGACCAAAGAGGGGGACCUUCGGGCCUCUUGCCAUCGGAUGUGCCCAGAUGGGAUUAGCUAGUAGGUGGGGUAACGGCUCACCUAGGCGACGAUCCCUAGCUGGUCUGAGAGGAUGACCAGCCACACUGGAACUGAGACACGGUCCAGACUCCUACGGGAGGCAGCAGUGGGGAAUAUUGCACAAUGGGCGCAAGCCUGAUGCAGCCAUGCCGCGUGUAUGAAGAAGGCCUUAGGGUUGUAAAGUACUUUCAGCGGGGAGGAAGGGAGUAAAGUUAAUACCUUUGCUCAUUGACGUUACCCGCAGAAGAAGCACCGGCUAACUCCGUGCCAGCAGCCGCGGUAAUACGGAGGGUGCAAGCGUUAAUCGGAAUUACUGGGCGUAAAGCGCACGCAGGCGGUUUGUUAAGUCAGAUGUGAAAUCCCCGGGCUCAACCUGGGAACUGCAUCUGAUACUGGCAAGCUUGAGUCUCGUAGAGGGGGGUAGAAUUCCAGGUGUAGCGGUGAAAUGCGUAGAGAUCUGGAGGAAUACCGGUGGCGAAGG
rnacentral:rRNA from 1 species